rnacentral:lncRNA from 1 species
CGCAGGGGAGCUCGCGCCCUGCGGCUCCGGAUCCAGUCCUGACAAAGAAACUGAGGCAACAGUUAAAGCAGGGAAGCGCCUGACAAAGUUCAAGUUUCCUGUAUUUUAAGCCUCUUCAAACCCUGUUGGAAUGGAAAAGGGCAUUUCUAGGAGACCUGACUCCGAGAUCAUCCCCAGUUUCCCCAGUUAAGAAGAGGCAGGAAGCCAGGGGAGUUGCUAGGACCAGCCAACUGCCUGACUUCCCUCUGUCGCCUAAAUGCAAGAAGGAAGACUAUGGACAGUGCGGGCAUCCAGGACCUGGCACAAGAUGAAGGGAUGAGGAGACGCAGCCUACCAUGAAAUCCAAGACUACCCCCUCCCUCUACCGCGUCCACCUCAUCUGGGUCCUUUCUUCUUCAUUUGUCCUUUUCCAUAGCAGAUUCAGUACUUCUCUCACCACUGUCUCCUUUCCUUCUGCCUUCAAACAUCCACAAGUUUCCUUUUGUUCUGUCUCUUCUAUCUACUACACAGUCCUUGAGAUAGUGAUCUACACCCAUUACCUUCCUUCCUCUCCAUCACCUCUCCUUGACUCAGAAAUAUGUUGCGCCGUAUCCACACCUGCCAAAAUCCCUGCCACCUCCUAGCUCCAAACCCCAGCCUUUGCUCUGCUCUGUUCUUCCUGAGGCCUCUGCAGUUGACAAUGCCCAUAGACCUCUUUCUCAAGGUUGUCUUCUCUGCUGACAUCUGUGUCCACUCCCUCUCCAGUCCCACAGGAGUUUUCUUCCCUCGUUCCUCUUCCUCCUCUCCCACUCCCAGGGUUUGUCUGUCUGUCACUCUCUUUCACUCUCCACAUCUCCCUUGGGAGUCUCAUCUAAUCCAUUGCCUUCCUACCACCUCCAUCUCCUGGUUCAUAGUUCUAAAUGCCAGCUGCAUUUAACAUGUAACAUAUUUAAACCAAAAUUUUUCAACUCACUCCCACCCCAAGUAGCUGCUUUCUAAUGACUUUCAACAACUUGAGCUGCAUCUCUAAGAUACUUUGAAGCUUCAGGCCUGGCAUCCUUUGAAUCCUUCAACUUCCACACUGCGUCAUUAAAUCCUUCAGAAUGUCUCCCAAAUUGGUGCCUCUUUUCAGUUCCCACCACAGCUACAUUUCCUGGAUUGUUGUGUCCCUCCAUCAUCACUGCUCUGUGCAAACACCUCAGAGGUCCCCUGCUGCAUGUAGAUCGAAGCCCAGCCAUGCAGACUUCCUCCAAGCUGGUUCCCUCCCAUCCUUCCCCGUUGCAGAACAUCCCUCCCUUGUCUCCAUCCUGACCUUCCAUCUCA